GACGAACGCUGGCGGCGUGCUUAACACAUGCAAGUCGAACGGAAAGGCCCUGCUUUUGUGGGGUGCUCGAGUGGCGAACGGGUGAGUAACACGUGAGUAACCUGCCCUUGACUUUGGGAUAACUUCAGGAAACUGGGGCUAAUACCGGAUAGGAGCUCCUGCUGCAUGGUGGGGGUUGGAAAGUUUCGGCGGUUGGGGAUGGACUCGCGGCUUAUCAGCUUGUUGGUGGGGUAGUGGCUUACCAAGGCUUUGACGGGUAGCCGGCCUGAGAGGGUGACCGGCCACAUUGGGACUGAGAUACGGCCCAGACUCCUACGGGAGGCAGCAGUGGGGAAUAUUGCACAAUGGGCGGAAGCCUGAUGUAGCAACGCCGCGUGCGGGAUGACGGCCUUCGGGUUGUAAACCGCCUUCGCCUGUGACGAAGCGUGAGUGACGGUAAUGGGUAAAGAAGCACCGGCUAACUACGUG
rnacentral:rRNA from 1 species